rnacentral:rRNA from 1 species
AUGGCAUGGGACAAGCUGACGAAACCGAAGAGAGGGGGAGGCAUUGGGUUUAGGGACAUGCAUAUGUUCAAUCAGGCCUUGCUAGCUAGGCAAGGUUGGAGACUGAUUCAGAACCCGGAAAGCUUAUGUGCCCGAGUACUUAAAUCAAAAUAUUACCCUAAUGGAGAAGUGUUAGACACAGUGUUCGCCACUGAUGCGUCACAGACUUGGAGAGGCAAUCAGUUUGGCCUAGAGCUUAUCAAACAAGGUCUGAUAUGGAGAGUGGGUACGAGAAAGAACAUUCAGAUACAGAGGGAUCAAUGGAUACCUAGGUCGGAAGGGCUUCGUGCUGCAAGCUUCAUCCGGAGGUCUAGGCUAAGGUGGGUAAAUCAACUCACCAUACCUAAUACAAGCAGAUGGGAUGAGGAACUCAUUCAGCAGAUUUUCAACCCUUGUGAUGCUGCCGAAAUCCUAAAGAUUAAAAUCCCUCUAGGAGAAGUGGAGGAUAGUGUGGCGUGGCAUUAUGAGAAAUCUGGGCUGUUUACGGUGAGGAGCGCCUAUAAACUUGCCAUGAGGUUGAAGAGGACUGGCCCACAACCUUCUACCUCUGAGGCAAGCACGGAUGAUCGGAACAUCUAG